rnacentral:rRNA from 1 species
AGAGUUUGAUCCUGGCUCAGAACGAACGCUGGCGGCAGGCUUAACACAUGCAAGUCGAGCGCUCUCUUCGGAGGGAGCGGCGGACGGGUUAGUAACGCGUGGGAACGUACCCUUUUCUAAGGAAUAGCCAUUGGAAACGAUGAGUAAUACCUUAUACGCCCUUCGGGGGAAAGAUUUAUCGGAGAAGGAUUGGCCCGCGUUAGAUUAGAUAGUUGGUGGGGUAAUGGCCUACCAAGUCUACGAUCUAUAGCUGGUUUUAGAGGAUGAUCAGCAACACUGGGACUGAGACACGGCCCAGACUCCUACGGGAGGCAGCAGUGGGGAAUCUUGGACAAUGGGCGCAAGCCUGAUCCAGCCAUGCCGCGUGAGUGAUGAAGGCCUUAGGGUCGUAAAGCUCUUUCGCCAGGGAUGAUAAUGACAGUACCUGGUAAAGAAACCCCGGCUAACUCCGUGCCAGCAGCCGCGGUAAUA